AGGUGAAAGGAAGCCUCUUUCUUUUCUCUUUCCCUGGAGGCCCUUCUUCCCACCCCAGACAUCACAUCACAACAUGUGAGAUCAGUGGAGGGGAGUGGACUCGCGUGGCAGCUGCUGGAGGAGCUCCAGGCCACUGAGGUGAAGGCCGUGGCUCUGAGCGAGGACGGCAGGGCACACCAAACCCCUGUGAAGGGAGACCGACACCAGGCAAACGCUACCAUGGAGUGCAGCACUCAAAUGCUGCGACCGCCUUCACACCUUGCUACCUGCACAGUAUUCCUGCAGUGCCAGCAACAGAGCAGCAAGCUGCAGAUGUCCUGAAAUUAACAGGAAUCUGCUAAUAAUCCCAUGUCUGUAUGCCUCGCCGAAGACAGAGGAUGAAAACCUCUCUUGGACUAGUCUGCCUUCAGGAGCUGGGCCGGCAGGAGGAGUUAGGCUGGCGACCUGGCCACCAGUCCGUGGUGGCACUGGGGGCUCUGGCCGAACGCUGACCCUGGUGUCCCCCGUGUUUCACUGCGCGGGCUGAUGAGAAAGCAGCUGGUAUGACGAGCGUUUGCUUUGUUGCUGUGCCACAGUGACUGUUGGCACUAGAAAAGCACAAGGAUAGGUUCGCUGCUGAAAUCUCCAGCCUUUUCUAUGGUUAAGCCUUGGAUUAAUCAGUAGGAGCCUCCUCCAGUAUGUGUGCAUGGUGUAAUAAAUGGAAAGUGGGUUCCAAUGUA